GGAGGCAGCAGUAGGGAAUUUUUCACAAUGGGGGAAACCCUGACCGAGCAACGCCGCGUGAACGACGAAGUACUUCGGUAUGUAAAGUUCUUUUAUAUGGGAAGAAAAAUUAAAAAUUGACGGUACCAUAUGAAUAAGCCCCGGCUAACUAUGUGCCAGCAGCCGCGGUAAUACAUAGGGGGCGAGCGUUAUCCGGAUUUACUGGGCGUAAAGGGUGCGUAGGUGGUUAUAAAAGUUUGUGGUGUAAGUGCAGUGCUUAACGCUGUGAGGCUAUGAAAACUAUAUAACUAGAGUGAGACAGAGGCAAGUGGAAUUCCAUGUGUAGCGGUAAAAUGCGUAAAUAUAUGGAGGAACACCAGUGGCGAAGGCGGCUUGCUGGGUCUAUACUGACACUGAUGCACGAAAGCGUGGGGAGCAAACAGGAUUAGAUACCCUGGUAGUCCACGCCGUAAACGAUGAGAACUAAGUGUUGGCCAAAAGGUCAGUGCUGCAGUUAACGCAUUAAGUUCUCCGCCUGAGUAGUACGUACGCAAGUAUGAAACUCAAAGGAAUUGACGGGACCCCGCACAAGCGGUGGAUCAUGUUGUUUAAUUCGAAGAUACACGAAAAACCUUACCAGGUCUUGACAUACUCUGCAAAGGCUUAGAAAUAAGUUCGGAGGCUAACAGAUGUACAGGUGGUGCACGGUUGUCGUCAGCUCGUGUCGUGAGAUGUUGGGUUAAG
rnacentral:rRNA from 1 species